UGUCAUUUCUGCUGCAUUAAAUACAUGCUUAAUCAUGUGGACAAGUAUCCUGCCUCUAUUGUAUUGUGUUUUUGGAGAAAAUGGGGGUCAUGUUAGCAGUAACUGCAUAAAGUUUCUGUGAAACCAAGGUAAAUCUGUUAUUGUUACUGUGAAACCAAGGUAAAUCUGUUAUUGUUACUGUGAAACCAAGGUAAAUCUGUUAUUGUUACUGUGAAACCAAGGUAAAUCUGUUAUUGUUACUGUGAAACCAAGGUAAAUCUGUUAUUGUUACUGUGAAACCAAGGUAAAUCUGUUAUUGUUACUGUGAAACCAAGGUAAAUCUGUUAUUGUUACUGUGAAACCAAGGUAAAUCUGUUAUUGUUACUGUGAAACCAAGGUAAAUCUGUUAUUGUUACUGUGAAACCAAGGUAAAUCUGUUAUUGUUACUGUGAAACCAAGGUAAAUCUGUUAUUGUUACUGUGAAACCAAGGUAAAUCUGUUAUUGUUACUGUGAAACCAAGGUAAAUCUGUUAUUGUUACUGUGAAACCAAGGUAAAUCUGUUAUUGUUACUGUGAAACCAAGGUAAAUCUGUUAUUGUUACUGUGAAACCAAGGUAAAUCUGUUAUUGUUACUGUGAAACCAAGGUAAAUCUGUUAUUGUUACUGUGAAACCAAGGUAAAUCUGUUAUUGUUACUGUGAAACCAAGGUAAAUCUGUUAUUGUUACUGUGAAACCAAGGUAAAUCUGUUAUUGUUACUGUGAAACCAAGGUAAAUCUGUUAUUGUUACUGUGAAACCAAGGUAAAUCUGUUAUUGUUACUGUGAAACCAGGGUAAAUAUGUUAUUGUUACUGUGAAACCAAGGUAAAUCUGUUAUUGUUUCUGUGAAACCAAGGUAAAUAUGUUAUUGUUACUGUGAAACCAAGGUAAAUAUGUUAUUGUUUCUGUGAAACCAAGGUAAAUCUGUUAUUG